rnacentral:rRNA from 1 species
CGGUUGAUCCUGCCGGACCCGACUGCUAUUUGGGUGAGGAUUAGCCAUGCGAGUCGAAUGGGAAACCUAAAUUUCCCAUGGCAAACUGCUCAGUAACACAUGAUCAACUUGCCCUAUAGAGAAAAAUAACCUCGGGAAACUGAGGAUAAUUUUUCAUAGCUGAAAAGGCUUGGAAAAGUUUUUCAGUAAAAGGGAUAAAAAAAAUGGUUUUUAUCUGCUAUAGGAUAGGAUCGUGUUCGAUUAUGGUUGUUGGUGAGGUAAUGGCUCACCAAGCCGAUAAUCGAUAGGGGCCGUGAGAGCGGAGCCCCGAGAUGGGUACUGAGACAACGACCCAGGCCUUACGAGGCGCAGCAGGCGCGAAACCUCCGCAAUACACGAAAGUGUGACGGGGGUUACCCAAAGUGUUCAAUUUUGAACUGUGGUAGGUGAGUAAAUGUUCCCUACUAGAAAGGAGAGGGCAAAGGCUGGUGCCAGCCGCCGCCGGUAAAAACCAGCUCUUCAAGUGGUCGGGGAUAUUUAUUUGGGCUUAAAGUGUCCGUAGCCGGGUUUAGUUAAGUUCCUGGUAAAAAUCGGGGUAGCUUAACUAUCCGUAUGCUAGGAAUACUACAAUAUACUAAAGGGCGGGAGAGGUCUGAGGUACUACAGGGGUAGGGGGUGAAAUCUUUAUAAUCCUUGUAGGACCACCAGUUGCGAAGGCGUCAGACUGGAACGCGCCUGACGGUGAGGGACGAAAGCCAGGGGAGCGAACCGGAUUAGAUACCCGGGUAGUCCUGGCCGUAACGAUGCAUACUAGGUGAUGGCACGGCCAUGAGCCGUGUCAGUGCCGUAGGGAAACCGUUAAGUGUGCCGCCUGGGAAGUACGGUCGCAAGGCUAAACUUAAAGGAAUUGGCGGGGGAGCAC